GUGAGAGAGAGGGACAGAGGAACAGGCAGAGGGAGAAGCAGGCUCCAUGCAGGGAGCCCGAUGUGGGACUCGAUCCCGGGUCCCCAGGAUCACACCCCAGGCUGCAGGCGGCGCUAAACCACUGAGCCACCGGGGCUGCCCUAGACCCUGUCUUCUUGAGAAAACUCGACAUCCCUUCAGAACCAUCCUCUGUGAGAGCCCAGGGUGCCCUCUGAGCAUCUCCUGUCCGGCAGCAUGUUUGUAUCAAUGAGAAAGCUGGAACCCAGAUUGAUGAGGUGUCUUCACCAUGGCCGGGAAGUACAGCAGUCAAGUUUAGAUGUGGCUUCCUCGGGUACCACAAGUUCUGAUGGCUCUGGAAUGGGAGCGGCAGUGUGUCGAGGGGACACAUCCAGGAGGGGCCUUCCAUGCAUCUUUCCAUCUCCAGCGCUCACCAAAAUGCCUGGCACACAGCAGGUGCUCACUAAAUGAAAAUGCAAUUUGAGUUGAACAAAGUAAGCGUUCAUUGGGCACCCAAUAAAUGUACCAAGUGCAAGAUAUGCAAAGAUGGGUGGCAGCUAAAAGUCAGGAUGCAUGUAUACAAGCACAGCCGGUAAGAGACUUGGAAAGAAGACGCAUGCGGCACUUCCAUUGGUUCAUUUGUUCAUCAAGGCAUUUGUUGUGCCAAGCUCUGGGAAGACAGACAUGAAUAAAAUGUGCUCCUGGGUCUUCAAAAAGACAUGACCUGGUACAUAAUUCAUAUAACUGGGCAGAUGACUGCUGUCCUCGGGUGUGCCUCAGGGCUCUGAGGACAGAGCCACUGGAUUGUGGGUCAGUUUGAAAGGGAUGGGGGAGGGGAAGCUGGAUGAGAUGGGCAGGGCCUUUGCACUUGCCGGUUCUUUUCCCCGGGACACCUUUUCUCUCAUCCUUCCUGUCUCAGAUGGCGUGUCCUCUCCUCCAGCAGCCCCUUCGGAAAGCUGCCUCCUCAUGGCUCUAUCACCGUUCCCUGUUCAGUUCUUCUCAAACCCUGACCAUGGACCCUGGUGAAUGAAAAGAGGGCAAGGAAACGGAACUAGCAUUUUUUGGAAUACCCACUACGUGCCAGACACAGGGCUCUUUAACUGCCGAACGCUAUUUCAUUAAUUUCCCCCAAAGUUCCCGGGGUGGUGGUAUUCUUACCCUCAUUGGGCAGACUACAAAGGGCCCCUGCCCCUUCUUGGAAGGCAAAUGCCUUUGCCCAAGGUCACCGGCCGGAUGUAGAGGAAUAGACUUGGAAUCCAGGGCCAGCUGCCUCCCCACACCCAUGGUGCUUUCAUGGCACCGGGAGAGGCCAAGUGCAAGAAAGGAAAUGGAAUGACUCGUUUACUGCUUCAGGCAUUUUCAGCAACAAGUAAGUGAUUUCCCUAAUUCCCAUUCUGCUGUUAAUACAGAAACUUGGCAGCUGGGAACCAGGCUGCAGAAAAACAGGUUUCCUUCUUAACUCAGCAGCACCCCCUGCAGGAGAUGAGGGAACACAGCAGAAGUGAUGGGGGCCGGAGGGCUCCUCUCUGCCGGAGGGGAUCCAGCAGGCACUCCAGACAGCUUCCAGGCCCUUCCUUACUAAAAAGGAGCACAUUGAGACUGAGAAAGGAAUUUGCCCAAAGUCACACUGUUAGUGAUGGCAGAUGUGAAGCCGGCUUCUGACUCCCCGUUCAGUGCCCUCUCCCCACCCACUCCCUCCCUCUCUCCGCCUCUCUCCUUCAAUAAGCAUUAAUUUAGCACCUACUAUGCCUUGGGUAUAUUUCUUCUUGUGGAUUAUAAAUAUCAAUGGCUAAACUUUGUCUUUUGGGAUUAUUGUUGUAUUGAUU
rnacentral:lncRNA from 1 species